GGCGAGGUGGCCGAGUGGUUAAGGCGAUAGACUAGAAUGAUGCCCCUGUCGUCAGACAUGCACCUCCUCUUGAUAUCUAUUGGGUUCGCCCGCGUAGGUUCAAAUCCUGCCCUCGUCG